GCAUUAAUGGGGUAGUGGUAACCUGGGUCGUUGCCAUGAGUAUCUUUUCUCGACCCGCCGGGGGUUCGAUUCCCCCUUAAUGCA